CUUCGUCACCCGGUCUCUGCUCCCCUCCCCACCCCCCGAAUUCUUGACGGGCAUCGGGAACGGGACGGGGAAGGAAGGAGACCGAAGUGGCUGGGAAAGGAGGGCAAUCCGCAGUCAACCCAGAGACUGAAACGCCGUGGGAGUGAUUUGCAGCGUCCUGCCCCGCCGCCGCUAUCCACUCAUUUUCCAGAUGUCUACACUCCACAUAUGGUAGGAUUAUGGAAUACCAGCAUAUCAAGAGAGAAGCAACUUAGUGAUACCAAGUAAGAAUUGGCUAUUAAGCCAAACACCUUCUUCCCUUUUUUUUGUUUAAAGUUUUAUUUGUUUUAUUAAUAUAAUGUAUAAAAUUCCAUUUCAAUCAAAUGAUGUGUUGUCUGGGUACAAUUAUU
rnacentral:lncRNA from 1 species